CAGGCGGUAUACAAAGCAUAUUUCUAGGCUUAAGGGCUAAGUGCCGGGAUGUAGAAGAAGAAGAGAUGGGCAACGGUUGGCACUUAAUGCCAGGUAGUUUUUGCACAGGUAGUCCCUGCUUUGCAUACGCAGCGCGAGCGAGAGAGACAGAGAGAGAGAGAGAGAGCGAGGAUCACACGAGCAUCCUGCGGAAGUGUGUGAAACUAGAGAUGACACCUGGCGAGACCAACACGAGCAUGUGCCGUGUUUCCAUGUCACGUGUCACGCCAAAAAGAAACGAUUAUUUCACUGUAAAUGUUAUUCAAAUAGAAAUAUAAUAUGUAUAUUAUAGA